UUUGAAUCUUGGUCUUCCUCACACAUACAGGUAGUCUCUCCUUGGGCCAGUCAGCUACAUCACCUCUCCAUAUCCCCCUGGAGACUAUAUUGUGUACCUCUUGGGAAUGUGAAGUUCAAAUGAGAGAAAAUUUUAAAGUGCUUUACUUCUCCAACAGACCCAGCAGCCUUCUCACCCUGGGAGAGUCUUCUCAAAUUGAGACUUCCUUCUCUCAUUGGUCAAACAAACUACAGCUAGACUGGGCUGCCAACACCCUACAGUUGGAGGUCAAAAUAAUUAACGUAACAAGAUUCUGUACAGCUUGGUUGCACUCAGUGGUCAGAGGAAGAAGGAAAAAAAAUGAAUUCUAGCCAGGGUGUAAAAACCAAGCCUAUGAGAGAUGUUGCUUAAAAUCCAGGGGCUAGAACUGCUAAAAGACCUCUCCAUGAUGACCAAGAAGACAGUGAUUUUUACAAGAAAAGAUGAAAGGAAUGCAAUAAAGGAAGACAGAAAAUGAGAAAUAUUGUGGUAUUCAAUGAAAAUAUGCAAAGAGAGAGAAGAACCUACCAAAAAAGGUCCUGUCUAAUGAGAAAUGAUGAUUGGGUGGGAAUAGCUAAGAGAAACAAGAUGAAAAGGAGAAGAGGAAAAUAUGGGCUCACUACCAGGAGAGUUCUGAAAGGAACAAUGAAUUACACUGUGAGGCAGCCUGCCAUAAGAAGUAGUGGGAGGAAUGUUCAUCUAAGGUUUUUAAAAUCAGGUUGGACCAUGAACUAGAGAGUCAACUGUAAGGGAAAUCCUGUUCAGGCUCAGCAAAGGCCGGCAAGGAGCCACAGGCUUUUGUGGCUGCUUCCUACGGCCAAGUCCUAAUUCCCCCGAAUUCUACUGCCCGGGGUUUUUGAAGAAUCAAAGAGUUUCUUGGAUGCAAUUGUACUACUUGUCUAUAAGGCUUCUUCCUCUGGGAAUAUCCCUCCCCUUCAUGAAUGGGAUACGAGUUUCCAGGUCUCUUAGGGGCUUCCCAGGACAGUCACCAGAAUGAGAGUCGGAAAAAUUUAAGAUUAAAUUUGGCUUCGGAGCCUAGCUGUGUGACACUGGCAAGUCAUUUUAACUCAAUUUUCCUCAGUUUCCUCAUCUGUAAAAUGAGCUAGAAAAGGAAAUGGCAAACCAUGCAGUAUCUUUGCCAAGAAAACCUCAAAUGGGAACAUGGAGAGUUGGACACAAAGGAAAAAUGACUGAAUAACAACAAAGAGCCAUGGGCACCUCUCCGUACACAGGGUCAGACCAGUGAGUACGCUGACCCAUUUGGUCAGAAUCAGAUAUUUCUGGAAAAAGCCAACUCUUCCACAGCUUCCUUCCUGUUGACUGAAUAACUGAGUUUGUCAGCCUCAAACAUUUGCUAGCUCUGUGAUCCUGGGCAAGUCACUUAACCUCCUUUGCCUAGCCUAGAGUUAUUACUAAGACAGAAAGGAAGGGUUUUAAAAAAAGAGUUGAAGGAGCAUUGUUUGUCUCUGGCCCCUGAGUUUUUGACUACUGUGGAUUAAUUCUAAUAUUUCAUUUUGUUUUGAGACUUAUUAGCAAUAUUGGCCAUGCUCUGGGGACCACAGGAUCUUAAUCCUUGACUUUCAGACAGUCUUACAUUUAGCAAAUAUCUUGAAGACCAUCAGAACUCCGAAUGUUUUAAGGAGUUUGGAGUUUUGGGGGCAAAAGACAGUGCUGAGUCAUCCCAUAGUCACACCAGGCAUAUGCCCAGGGCUUUCCAAAGUUAGCAAAAAUGAAGACGUUAAUGAGCAAAAGUUCUGCUAUAAGGUAUAAGUCUUUCUUUUUUUUUAUCUUUCCUAAAUCCUUAUCAUUUGUCUUGGAAUCAAAACUAAGUAUCAGUUCUAAGACAGAAGAACAGUAAGGGCUAGGAAAUGGGAGUAAAGUGACUUGCCCAGGGUCACACCACUAGGAGGUAUCUGAGGCCAGAUUCAAAGCCCAGACUUCCAAUUUCCCAGCCUGGCUCUAAAUCCUCUGAACCCCUCCAGCUGCCCCUAAAUGGUAUAGAUUUCAAACUGUUUGCUUACCUGUUGUCUCUAGAUUAAGGAAUGCAGUAGUUGCACAAAAGGUAUUUUUUAAACUCUUAUUAUAUGUCAGGCACUAUACCAAAUAAGAUGAAAAAAAGAAAGAAAGAAAGAGAGAAAGAGAGAAAGAAAGAGAGAAAGAGAGAAAGAAAGAAAGAAAGAAAGAAAGAAAGAAAGAAAGAAAGAAAGAAAGAAAGAAAGAAAGAAAGAAAGAAAGAAAGAAAGAAAGAAAGAAAGAAAGAAAGAAAGAAAGAAAGAAAGAAAGAAAGAAAGAAAGAAAGAAAGAAAGAAAGAAAGAAAGAAAGAAGUUUAAAAAAAAAACCUAGUCCUUAGGGCAGCUAGUAGCACAGUGGAUAAAAUGUCAGGCCUGGAAUUGGGAAGACUUGGGUUUCAAUCUAGCUUCAUAUUCUUCCUAGCUGUGUGACCCUGGGCAGGUCACUUAACACCAAAUGCCUAAGUACUUGAUGCUCUUCUGUCUUAGAACUAAGACAGAAAGUAAGAGUUAAAAAAAAGCAAACCCUAGUCCUUUCUUUCAAGGACCUUGGGUCCUAAUGGGGAAGACAACCUAUAAACAAUUAGAUACAUAUAGAAAGAGUAUGUGGAAGUUAAUAUGAUGAGGGACGACACCAAUACUUGUGCAAAUUGAUUAAAUUCUCUUGUAGAAAGUGGAAUUUGAAUGGAAUCUUAAAGAAAACCAGGAAAAGUGAGAAAAGCCAGGGAAGCAGGGGAUAGAUGUAUAUGAGAACAAGGAGGCCAGUGUAGAUGGAUCAUAGAGUUUUUGACAGAAAGAAAGGUAUAAAGAAAGGAAGGAAACAGGUUAUGAAGAGGACCCUACAGGGGAACAGAUGACCUCUGGGAAAACUUUUGACUUGGAGACUGUGGUUGUUUGGAUCAACUGGGGUUAUUUAGUUAUUUAGUUAGUAUAGGAGGCAAUUUUUCUACUUGGAAAAAAAAAUGACUUCGUCUUGACUUUGUCAAGUUUUUUCAUUUCAUUUAAUAAUCAUCAAAUUUCUUUAGCAUCCUUUUUUGAGUUCCACAUCUGAUACAAUGGAACAAUAAAGCCAACUAACACAGGAACCUAAUCUGAAAGUAUACUAAAUUAUCAUGUGUUAUUAUUUUCAUUAUUAUUAAUAUUGCUAACAUCUGUGUCAACUUUAAGGAUGGCAAAGUUCUUUGCAUCCAUUAUCUCACUUGAGUCUGUAAGUCACAUUAAUGCCUUUGGAAUCUGUUGGUUUGGAAGCAUGCUUUUGUUGAAUUAGUCAUCCCUCCCAUCUCUUCAAAGAAGAGAGCUUUUCUUAACCUAAAGUUGCUGCUGUUGUUCAGUCAUUUUCUUUGUGUCCAACUCUUUGUAACCCUCUUUGGGGUUUACUUUGCAAAGAUGCUAGAAGAGUUUACCAUUUCCUCUUUCAGCUCAUUUUAUAGAUGAGGAAGUCGAGGGCAAAAGAGUUAAGGGAUUUUCCCAGUCACAUCACUAGUAAUUUUCUGAAGCCAGAUUUGAACUCAGGAAGAGGAGUUUUCCUGACUCCAGGCCUGGCACUCUCUCCACUGUGCCCUCUAGCUGCCCCAAUAAACAAAAGUUCAAAGCAACCAAAAGUUCACAGUUGAACUGAGAGGGCACACUUCAUUUUUCUUCCAAUCCAGUUCUCAGACACUGGGACAUGGCUGCUGACUGAUCCAUUAAACAGAGGGAAUAAAGUCCCUGGCAAACCCCGAAGAGAAAGAUGUAAUCUCAGCUUCCGAGGCUUUGCAAACUAAGCCUCCCUACCAUGCUUAGCCAUCAGAAUUUGGAUGACAAGUACAAGAAAAUCACCAACAUUCCCCGUGCCAAAAGCUAAAAGUGCAGUUUACAAAAGUGAAACUGAGUGAUGAUUUUUGAUUAAUCACUUGAGAGAUAGUGGUGCCUGAUUUGUAGAUUUGUAGAUAUUAAGUCCAUGCAUACAAAAACAGAAAUCACAACCUGGUUCUAAUGGGGGUUACUUCCUUGCUUGAUCAAAAGGACUAGGGUACUACCAAAUGCUCCAGAGGAUUGUGUAAAAUGCUUUGACCAAAUCAAGUGCUAGAAGGGGCCACCUCCUAUCACCUCCAAAAGAAGCUGAUCUUUUCUCCAAAUUUUGGAUGACUAACCCUACAAAGGCUUUCUUUCAAAUUUGCAAAGUCUACAAGGACCAAUGUAGUUCACAGGCUUCUGUUACAUAAUGGAUGCAAAGUACCUGGGCAACCCUAAAAUUAUUGUUGAUGUCAGUAAUAAUAAUAAUGACCAUAAUAAUAUAAUAAUUACUAUGACUACCAUAGGACAAGAGAUCUAUAAGUAGUAUCCUUUGUGUUUCUGGGAAUAAGGAGCAAAAAAUCAACCAACAAGCAUUUAUUAUGUAAUGUGCCAAAAUCUGUGUUGGGUAUUGAGUAUGUCAAAGACAAAAAUGAAAUAAAUAUUCCCUGCUCUUAAGGAGUUUCUAUUCUAACAUAACAUAUGAUGUGUUUCAUUUCCCUUUGAAUACAUCAAAGACUGAGAAAUUGAAGAUUAAGCUUUUGAUAUGUGCUUUAUCUCUUGAUGCUUUAGAACUCCAGGUUUUUAAAUAACAAAUUUCUCUUCAAUUUUU